rnacentral:rRNA from 1 species
UGCAUGGCUGUCGUCAGCUCGUGUCGUGAGAUGUAGGGUUAAGUCCCGCAACGAGCGCAACCCUCGACUUAGUUACCAUCAUUAAGUUGGGUACUUAAAGUAACCGCCGGUGAUAAGCCGGAGGAAGGUGGGGAUGACGUCAAGUCCUCAUGGCCCUUACGCGCUGGGCUACACACGUGCUACAAUGGCAAGUACAGUGGGCAGCAAUCCCGCGAGGGUGAGCUAAUCUCCAAAACUUGUCUCAGUUCGGAUUGUUCUCUGCAACUCGAGAGCAUGAAGGCGGAAUCGCUAGUAAUCGCGGAUCAGCAUGCCGCGGUGAAUACGUUCCCAGGCCUU